GAUGAACGCUGGCGGCGUGCCUAAUACAUGCAAGUCGAGCGAAUGGAUUAAGAGCUUGCUCUUACGAAGUUAGCGGCGGACGGGUGAGUAACACGUGGGUAACCUGCCCAUAAGACUUAGACAACUCCGGGAAACCGGGGCUAAUACCGGAUAACAUUUUGAACCGCAUGGUUCGAAAUUGAAAGGCGGCUUCGGCUGUCACUUAUGGAGGGACCCGCGUCGCAUUAGCUAGUUGGUGAGGUAACGGCUCACCAAGGCAACGAUGCGUAGCCGACCUGAGAGGGUGAUCGGCCACACUGGGACUGAGACACGGCCCAGACUCCUACGGGAGGCAGCAGUAGGGAAUCUUCCGCAAUGGACGAAAGUCUGACGGAGCAACGCCGCGUGAGUGAUGAAGGCUUUCGGGUCGUAAAACUCUGUUGUUAGGGAAGAACAAGUGCUAGUUGAAUAAGCUGGCACCUUGACGGUACCUAACCAGAAAGCCACGGCUAACUACGUGCCAGCCGCCGCGGUAA
rnacentral:rRNA from 1 species